rnacentral:lncRNA from 1 species
AUAGACCCUGUGACCUGUGUUGCCUGUGAGGCUUCACAGAGGAUUUCUCCUAGUCUGAGAUGCUAUGGUUCCCUUGCAGUCAGAAAGACAGAAGUUCAAAUACUACUUAUGAAUACUAGCUGUGUGACCCUGGGUAAGUCAUUUAUCCUCUCUAAUACUCAGUUUUUUCAUCUAUAAAAAGGGGAUAAUAAAACCACCUAUGUUAUGGGGUCCUUAUGAGGAUUAAAAUAGAUAAAAAUAUAUAAUGAAUAAAAUGCUUUGCAAACCUUAAAGUAGUAUAUAAAAUGUCUACAAUAUAAAUACAGUACUACAUAAAAAGUUCUAUAAUCAUAAUUACUAUUAUUAUUAUUUAUUUAUAAAUCUCUCUUUCAGUAAAUCCUCCUUAGUUAAUCCAUCCCCCUCAGUUCUCUUCCUAUCUCCUAGUCUUGAUUUCUAUAAUUCUUGCUAAUGGAUUCUGUGUUUGUCUGGAUAUGUAUCUUACAUCCUAUCAGACUAGGUUCACUCAAAGCAGAGGUUGGGUCCUCUUCUCUUUCUGGCUCCCUCAUCCCAAUAGCCUGGCUAAGACUUCAUACCUAAAGUUGUCUUCAGGGUGGGGUGUGACUUGAGGGUCCUGAAGAACUGGCUCCUGAACCUAUUUUCCCCCUUCCCUAUCCCCGUCACCCAUAGAAACCCUGCAGGCAAGUCAUCACAUCCUGACAUGUACCAGGAGCUGAUAAUGACCCCAACCCCAGAAGUUCCUGUCACUCUCCCUCCUGACAUGUACCAGGAAUUGAUAAUGACCCCAGCCCCAGAAGUUCCUGUCACCCCCCCCCCCCCCACAUGUACCAGGAGCUGAUAAUGACCCCAGCCCCAGAAGUUCCUGUCACCCCCCCCUCCUGACAUAUGCCAGGAGCUGAUAAUGACCCCAGCCCCAGAAGUUCCUGUCAAGUUCCUAUUCGCUACCCUGACCCCAGGAAUUCCUGUGCACUCCCCCUACCACAGAAGUUCCUGUUCACUCCAGCGUAUAAAAGACAUUCAAGCCCUGGAGUCAGGUCUCCAGCCAUUUUUAGAGUGCCGAGCCCGAGCUGCAGUUUGUUUAAUAAACUCCCUCCUGUAUUUUACAUUGUUGGUCAUCGUUUCAUCCUUGGGAUCCAUUCACUGGGCACUUCAUAUGGGGGCUCGUCCCGGGAUCCCACGAAGGAAGCGGAGUCUGACCAACAGAGGGCGGGGACCCCUGUCGCCGGGGCAACUCGAGAUGACGGGUCCAGAACACAUCACAAGUCGUUGGGAUCGGGAGGGUCUGGAUCCCCGACUCCCUCUCCCUUGGAUGAGUCGUGGGAAGGACCUGCUGGACUCGACUCCCUUAAACAAGGUAUUCUGGCCAGUUCAUUUUAGUCGACUUUAUUUGAGGGCUUAG